UUGGCAGGCUGUGGCAAGUUGCGGCCGUCUGUGGCAGGCUGUGGCAGUCUGUGGCAGGUUUUGGCAGGCUGUGGCAGGUUUUGGCAGGCUGUGGCAGGUUUUGGCAUGAUGUGGCAGUCUGUGGCAGGAUGUGGCAGUCUUGUGGCAGGCUGUGGAACUGCGUAGCAACUGUAGCAAGAUAUUUUCAUAAUUGUAUUUCAUAUUAGAUAUGUAAAACAAGUAAUACAAACAAGGAGAUAUAGAAAAUAAGAAUAAUAUAAACACAGGGAAAUAUAAAAUAUUAAAUAUAAGAAUAAGAAUAGUACAAUAUGUACAGUAUUUUACAUUCACAUUUACACUAUGGAACAGAUAUUAAUAUAUAUUUAGAUAAUAUUAAGAAGUGCAAAACAAAGAGAAAUUGUGCAAAACUUUGUACAUUAAAAUGUGUAAACAAGUAGCUGAUUUUUCCCUUAAUUUUUAUUUUGUAUUCAUCAUGACUCCAUGGCGGAAGUGGAAAGCAGAGUGACUGUCGUAACAACAACACGGACCAGUGGGUUACUGAAGGUGAAAAAUGGAGACUUUUUUACAUCUGCAGUUUUGUGCUUCACGGAGACGUGGCUGUGUGGAUCGAUACCGGACUCUGCACUGCAGCUGGCAGGUUUCCAACUCUUCAGAGCAGAUCGUAACAUGGAACUCUCCGGCACAACUAAAGGUGGAGACAAACGUGCAGGACGUGGGCUACAGUGCACACUCGCUGACCAGAUACUGUGUGUGGAGCGGACUUACCCAGACUCCUUAGUUAUUGUCCUUGGCGACCUUAACAAAGAGUCAGCAGGGUCUUUGUAGGAGACGGACAGGGGACAGCAGGGCAGCAGGAGGCAGUGUGUGUUCAUCUUAGUGUGACCAAUAAUCAGAGAGGCUACAGAUCAAUGGACUGGAACUCGAAGGUG